rnacentral:lncRNA from 1 species
GCUCUGCAUCUUUUGGGACUUCUUAAAGCAAGGAGCUCUGCUUUGUUGCCUAUUUUAUAGAUGGAUGGCUCUAGGAACACAUGUUUAGAGGAAUUAAUUGUAACUUUGUUCACUAGGAAGUUUCUUUCUACCAGCCAGCAAGAAAUCCCUCGUUUUCAUGACAACUGAAAGAAAAGCAAGUGACCCUGCAUUAGAGUGAAAAGAAUCCGGUUUAGAAUGUGAAUAGGGGUACAAAUUACCAAGCAUAAACACAUACCCAAGUAACUGGCUGUUUGCAAACUAAUUGGUUUUUCUAACUGUGGUUCUUCGCAGGCAAAAAAGAAAAAAAGAAAGAACAGAAGUGAGGAAAGGGGAGGCCCUGACUGUUUAUUUCUCUUCAGCAUAGAUAGAUCAUCUGAGUUGUUUUAACAAAAGGUGCAUUGUUUUCUUGAGCUGACUGUAGGUUUUACAGUUUCAACUCCACUUUCUUCUUUUUGUCCAGUAGGAAACUGCUCAGCAGAGGAGUUUUGAAGGAUUUAGAGAAUUGCCUGGUGGUACUGAGCCCAUGACAGAGGACAAACUUGUCAUCGUUGGACAGCCUCUCCCUGGAGCCACAAAGAUGAUGCCCUUAAAGGCUUCUGAAGUCGGCUCAAGUCCUGUCCUGGCAGAAUCUUUCCUUCUGUCUGCUGGAACCCUGGAUGUGAUCUAUGCUGCAUACUUCAUGUGGUCCCUGCACUGGUGAAUUCUUUUGUAUGACCUGGGGCUAUAUGCAGAAUACCUGGUCAAGUCUUUUAUUCAGUUUGAUAAAAAGACCCCUGACACAGCCAAGCAUUGAGCUGAAUGAGCAUUUCAUUAUGAAUAGCACAAAUAUUUGAAUUCAAGUCUAUGUCAACAGCCAUUGAUUGAAAUCUUCAUAAUGAAUGCCUGUGGAAACUAAAGGUAGAUGAAAGAAGAGGAGAAGAUUCGUUGUAGGACUAAGUUAGGGUACCAAGACAACCCUGCUUCCUGUGAGCAAAUCAGCUAUGUUCUGCAGGAAGCCAGCAAUGUGCAGACACUAGUAUUCUGCUUAGCCCCUGCAUCACAGUAACAGUAAGGUGGUUAUGGUGAAAGCAGGCUGAAAAUUCACAUCACCUACUAGAAGGUGGUCACGUAAAAGAAUGUGGUCUAACUGUCCAGAACGGGUGGGCUGAGUGACUGCAGGAGAAGAAAGCUAGUGAUUAAUGCAAUGCUUUGGUGAAAAGGGUUUAUGUUCCACUCAGAUCUGUGGUUUAUGUAUUUGCAUGUGAAAUACAAGGGGGUUAAUAGAAGCAGCAAGUAAAAUCAGUCAUUUUCCUAACAGACAGCAGAAGUGAGACUUUAGGAAACUAGCAAGCUAUAGGGUGAUAAUUCCUGUUUUGAAAAUACUCAAUGCAUAUUGGUUUUGAAGAUCUUCAUCAGGGAGCCAGAGCA